rnacentral:rRNA from 1 species
GACGUAGGGCGCGAGCGUUGUCCGGAUUUAUUGGGCGUAAAGAGCUCGUAGGCGGCUUGUCGCGUCGUCCGUGAAAACUUGGGGCUCAACCCCAAGCUUGCGGUCGAUACGGGCAGGCUAGAGUUCGGUAGGGGAGACUGGAAUUCCUGGUGUAGCGGUGAAAUGCGUAGAUAUCAGGAGGAACACCCGUGGCGAAGGCGGCUCUCUAUCUCGAUUCUGACGCUGAGGCGCGAAAGCUAGGGGAGCAAACGGG